GAGCGUCUAGAGAAACGACUGAGCAGUUGGAAAGGCAAGUUGCUCUCAGUUGGAGGACGGUUGGUUUUAAUUAACUCUGUCCUCACAAAUAUGGUUCUCUAUAUGCUUUCUUUCUUCCAACUCCCAAAAGGGGUCCUCCAAAGAUUGGACUAUUUUAGAUCCAGAUUCUUUUGGCAGGGAGACGGUGAAAAAAAAAAUAUAAGCUGGCAAAAUGGAGCGUGGUUUGUAGGCCGAAAGACCAAGGUGGCCUUGGAAUUCAUGACCUGCAGGUCAAGAAUGAGGCCCUACUUAGUAAAUGGUUGUUCAAACUUCUUA
rnacentral:rRNA from 1 species